GGAUGUGAGGGCAAUCUGGCUGUGACCUCUGUCACCUUAAUGAUCGCAGGGUUGAUUUGGCUGGUCUGGCUGGCUAGGUGGGUGUCCCCUUCCUCCCUCACCACUCCAGUGCAUCCCUCCUGAGGCUGCAUGCUUGGUCAAAGAGGAUGCCCUUCCUGACAGAGGAGGACCAUUAUUCUGUCAAGGGUAUAUGAGGAGCUAUGCUCCCCUGUUAGAACCUCCAAACAAGCUCUCAAGAUCUUGGGUUUGGAGAUUUAUAAACCUCAUUUGUGGCCCUGGCUUCAUUACUGUGUGA
rnacentral:snRNA from 1 species